rnacentral:rRNA from 1 species
GACGAACGUUGGCGGCGUGCUUAACACAUGCAAGUCGAACGGAAAGGCCCUGCUUUUGUGGGGUGCUCGAGUGGCGAACGGGUGAGUAACACGUGAGUAACCUGCCCUUGACUUUGGGAUAACUUCAGGAAACUGGGGCUAAUACCGGAUAGGAGCUCCUGCUGCAUGGUGGGGGUUGGAAAGUUUCGGCGGUUGGGGAUGGACUCGCGGCUUAUCAGCUUGUUGGUGGGGUAGUGGCUUACCAAGGCUUUGACGGGUAGCCGGCCUGAGAGGGUGACCGGCCACAUUGGGACUGAGAUACGGCCCAGACUCCUACGGGAGGCAGCAGUGGGGAAUAUUGCACAAUGGGCGGAAGCCUGAUGCAGCAACGCCGCGUGCGGGAUGACGGCCUUCGGGUUGUAAACCGCUUUCGCCUGUGACGAAGCGUGAGUGACGGUAAUGGGUAAAGAAGCACCGGCUAACUACGUGCCAGCAGCCGCGGUGAUACGUAGGGUGCGAGCGUUGUCCGGAUUUAUUGGGCGUAAAGGGCUCGUAGGUGGUUGAUCGCGUCGGAAGUGUAAUCUUGGGGCUUAACCCUGAGCGUGCUUUCGAUACGGGUUGACUUGAGGAAGGUAGGGGAGAAUGGAAUUCCUGGUGGAGCGGUGGAAUGCGCAGAUAUCAGGAGGAACACCAGUGGCGAAGGCGGUUCUCUGGGCCUUUCCUGACGCUGAGGAGCGAAAGCGUGGGGAGCGAACAGGCUUAGAUACCCUGGUAGUCCACGCUGUAAACGGUGGGUACUAGGUGUGGGGUCCAUUCCACGGGUUCCGUGCCGUAGCUAACGCUUUAAGUACCCCGCCUGGGGAGUACGGCCGCAAGGCUAAAACUCAGAGGAAUUGACGGGGCCCCGCACAAGCGGCGGAGCAUGCGGAUUAAUUCGAUGCAACGCGUAGAACCUUACCUGGGUUUGACAUGGAUCGGGAGUGCUCAGAGAUGGGUGUGCCUCUUUUGGGGUCGGUUCACAGGUGGUGCAUGCCUGUCGUCAGCUCGUGUCGUGAGAUGUUGGGUUAAGUCCCGCAACGAGCGCAACCCUUGUUCACUGUUGCCAGCACGUUAUGGUGGGGACUCAGUGGAGACCGCCGGGGUCAACUCGGAGGAAGGUGGGGAUGACGUCAAGUCAUCAUGCCCCUUAUGUCCAGGGCUUCACGCAUGCUACAAUGGCUGGUACAGAGAGUGGCGAGCCUGUGAGGGUGAGCGAAUCUCGGAAAGCCGGUCUCAGUUCGGAUUGGGGUCUGCAACUCGACCUCAUGAAGUCGGAGUCGCUAGUAAUCGCAGAUCAGCAACGCUGCGGUAAAUACGUUCCCGGG